rnacentral:rRNA from 1 species
GGAAGGAUCAUUAUCGAGAUACCACAAGCUGUUGCUCAAUCGGUGCACGCUUGUUAUUCUUCAUUUCCACAUCCACUGUGCAUCCUUUUGUAGAUCUGGUUUGGGACUGCUUUGCAUUCAGUGUUGCGGGCUUUCCUUGUGAUUUUUCAGAUCUAUGUUUUUUCAUAUACUCCAGUCAUUUAGAAGGAAUGUUGUAACAAUGAUAAUCGUUAAUACAACUUUCAGCAACGGAUCUCUUGGCUCUCGCAUCGAUGAAGAACGCAGCGAAAUGCGAUAAGUAAUGUGAAUUGCAGAAUUCAGUGAAUCAUCGAAUCUUUGAACGCAUCUUGCGCUCCUUGGUAUUCUGAGGAGCAUGCCUGUUUGAGUGUCAUUAAUAUCUCUCAACCACACAGUGUGUGUGGCUUGGACUUGGGGUUCGUGUGCAGGCUUGAUGGUCUGCUGCCCUGAAAUGAAUGCAUGUUGAACCUGCAUCUUAGAUGUGAUAACCCCUUUGCAUCUUUGUUGCAUCAUUUGACCCUUGACCUCAAAUCAGGUAGGACUACCCGCUGAACUUAAGCAUAUCAAUAAGCGGAGGAAAAGAAACUAACAAGGAUUCCCUUAGUAACUGCGAGUGAAGUGGGAGAGCUCAAAUUUGUAAUCUGGCAGUCCUUGGCUGUCCGAGUUGUAAUCUAGAGAAGUGCUACCUGUGCUGGACCGUGUAAAAGUCUCCUGGAAUGGAGCAUCACAGAGGGUGAGAAUCCCGUCUUUGACAUGGACUACCAGUGCCAUCUAGGUGUGCUCUCAAAGAGUCGAGUUGUUUGGGAAUGCAGCUCAAAAUGGGUGGUAAAUGCCAUCUAAAGCUAAAUAUUGGCGAGAGACCGAUAGCGAACAAGUACCGUGAGGGAAAGAUGAAAAGAACUUUGGAAAGAGAGUUAAACAGUACGUGAAAUUGCUGAAAGGGAAACGCUUGAAGUCAGUCGUGUCAGGCAGAAAUCAACCUUUGCUUUUGCUUGGUGUACUUUCUGUCUGACGGGUCAGCAUCAGUUUUGGUCGCUGGACAAAGUUCUGGGGAAUGUGGCAUCUUAGGAUGUGUUAUAGCCCUUUGACAUAUACAGCGGCUGAGAUUGAGGAACUCAGCACGCCGCGAGGCUGGGGCUUUGGCCCACAUAACGUGCUUAGGAUGCUGGCAUAAUGGCUUUAAUCGACCCGUCUUGAAACACGGACCAAGGAGUCUAACAUGCCUGCGAGUGUUUGGGUGGAAAACCCAUGCGCGUAAUGAAAGUGAUGGUUGAGAUCCCUGUCGUGGGGAGCAUCGACGCCCAGACUGGACCUUUUGUGAUGGAUCUGCGGUAGAGCAUGCAUGUUGGGACCCGAAAGAUGGUGAACUAUGCCUGAAUAGGGUGAAGCCAGAGGAAACUCUGGUGGAGGCUCGUAGCGAUUCUGACGUGCAAAUCGAUCGUCAAAUUUGGGUAUAGGGGCGAAAGACUAAUCGAA